rnacentral:snRNA from 1 species
GUGCUCACUUCAGCAGCCCAUGUACUAAAAUCAGAAUGAUACAAAGAAAAUUAACAUGGCCGCUGUGCAAGGAUAACACACAAAUUCAUGAAGUGUUUCAUAAAAAA